rnacentral:rRNA from 1 species
CAAGUAGUCAGAGCCCGUUAACGGGUAAUGGCGUGCCUUUUGUAGAAUGAACCGGCGAGUUGCGUUAGUCAGCAAGGUUAAGUCAGAAAAGACGGAGCCGUAGCGAAAGCGAGUCUGAAGAGGGCGAGCAGUUGGCUGACGCAGACCCGAAACCAAGUGACCUACCCAUGACCAGGUUGAAGGCGCGGUAAAACGCGCUGGAGGACCGAACCCACGUAAGUUGAAAAUUGCGGGGAUGAGUUGUGGGUAGCGGUGAAAUUCCAAACGAACUUGGAGAUAGCUGGUUCUCUCCGAAAUAGCUUUAGGGCUAGCCUCGCAAAGAGGAUGCUGGAGGUAGAGCUCUGUUUGGACUAGGGGCCCGUCAAGGGUUACUGAAUUCAGAUAAACUGCGAAUUCCAGACAUUUAUGUGCGGGAG